GCCAACUUUUUGUUAGUAAAGAGACACAAAGAACCUAUUAUAGAUUCAAGACGGAGAUGUGAAUCUUACAUUUCCUACUGGAAGGACUCAACCAUGAGGCAAAUCCUAUUAAUGCUCACCUUGAACCUUCUCAAAUGUCUAUGUCAGGAGGUGACGGUAACUCAAGACCAAAAACUUGUAGUACUAAAAGUCAACAAGUCCAUACGUCUCCGUUGUGAACAUAGUGACAAAACUGGAACUUUUACAAUGCUCUGGUACCAGCAACUAUCAGGGAAGGGUCUGGAGCUCAUAGCCAUGUCAUCUUCUGUAAAGGACUCCACCAUAGAAACAAAGUUCAAGGACAUGUGGAGUCUGGAGCGCCCUGACGUUAAGGGAUCCGUCCUCAAGCGUGAUAAAGCAACCUCUCAGGACGCGGCUUUGUAUUUCUGUGCAUCCAGUGAUCACAGCCACAAAAAGUUGAGCUGCAGCCAACAUAAAACCUUUGCUGCAUAGUAUUUAUGGCAAAGGAAACAGCGGAGAGAACAGACCUCUAGGGGGCGCUGUCUUUUCAUAAUUUAGUAUGUACACUUUUAUUUCCUGGAAUCAACCCUUUAGGUUCCCAUGUUCCAGUUCAAGUCAAUGUCACUUUUUUGGGGCGUUGUAUAUUUUAAUAGUUUGAGGCAACAUUUUAUAUCUAAGCAGAUGACCACCUACCACACAGCACUGUGCUUCUCCAUGUAUGAGAGAAUGAGAGUAGUAGAUCACAGAAGAGAACACAGCAAACGGGUGAUUUUCACACAUGCCACUUUGACAGAGAUUUUGCUUCUCUUUUUCGUAGUUGUGAAUUUUUAUGCUUUUUUACAGCUAAAUAUUUUAUUGAUCAGAUAAAGAUCUACCGGUAUAUUUUUUUUAAUUAGGUUUUUAAAGCAUUUUCUUUCAGAAAUGUUGCUGAUUUUGUUUACAUUUUCCAUGUCCCUGUCUAUAUUUUUAAAUAAAAUCUUAAAACCAUACAGCCUUUACUCUGACCCCUGGGCCU